rnacentral:rRNA from 1 species
AUUGAACGCUGGCGGCAUGCCUUACACAUGCAAGUCGAACGGCAGCACGGGAGCAAUCCUGGUGGCGAGUGGCGAACGGGUGAGUAAUAUAUCGGAACGUGCCCAGUCGUGGGGGAUAACGCAGCGAAAGCUGUGCUAAUACCGCAUACGAUCUAAGGAUGAAAGCGGGGGAUCGCAAGACCUCGCGCGAUUGGAGCGGCCGAUAUCAGAUUAGCUAGUUGGUGGGGUAAAGGCCCACCAAGGCGACGAUCUGUAGCUGGUCGGAGAGGACGACCAGCCACACUGGAAGUGAGACACGGUCCAGACUCCUACGGGAGGCAGCAGUGGGGAAUUUUGGACAAUGGGCGCAAGCCUGAUCCAGCAAUGCCGCGUGCAGGAUGAAGGCCUUCGGGUUGUAAACUGCUUUUGUACGGAACGAAACAGCCCUUUCUAAUACAGGGGGCUAAUGACGGUACCGUAAGAAUAAGCACCGGCUAACUACGUGCCAGCCGCCGCAGUAAGAC